rnacentral:snRNA from 1 species
AUCGCUUCUCGGCCUUUUGGCUAAGAUCAAGUGUAGUAUUUGUAUAUGUAUAUACAUAUAUGAAGUGAAUACAAACAUAUAAAUGUAAAAUAAAUUCAUAUUGAUAUUAGCUUUGCUUUAUCUAUUAAAGGUUAUAGAAAACAUGCAUUUUUCUUGCAUUGGCUAACUUCUU